CUGUGGGCGGAGCAUCCUUGAGGUCAUCUGCACAUUCUGACUGGGAAAAGAUGGUCAACGUCUUGAAAGGAGUGCUUAUAGAAUGUGAUCCUGCCAUGAAGCAGUUUCUGCUGUAUUUGGAUGAGUCCAGUGCCCUGGGGAAGAAGUUCAUCAUUCAAGACAUUGAUGAAACUCAUGUCUUUGUAAUAGCAGAGUUGGUUAAUGUCCUCCAGGAGCGAGUGGGUGAAUUAAUGGACCAAAACGCUUUUUCUCUUACCCAGAAGUGAAAAUAGUAGAUAUUGACCACUUGGGAAUUACAAGCAGCAAAUGUGAAAG